CAAAAAUGUGCAUUUUUCUCUUCAUCACUGAUCUAAUACUGGUAGAUAGGGCACUACUACUCAUGGGAGUUACUGGUAGCACGGCUUCUGCAGAUGUCCCCAGAAAUUGAGAAGCUGUGACUGUAAAUGUGAGAUAUUAAAUGGAAGAUGCCUCAAAUAUUUUUACAGCAGGGACGGUGUUCAUAGAGUCUUUGUAAAGGCCAUCUGAUGAGACUUUGAACAAUCUCAGCUCAGAGUCAGAGAGAAAGAGAGGUGUCUCUGAAGACCUCUGGAAGUAGAUGUCUGCUCUUCUGUUGAACGUGUACAUAACCAGUGCUGGGGAGCUCCUUCUGGGAAACCUUUUCGG